rnacentral:rRNA from 1 species
CGGGGGGAGCAAGCGUUGUUCGGAUUUACUGGGCGUAAAGGGCGCGUAGGCGGCCACCGCAAGUCGACUGUGAAAUCUCCGGGCUUAACCCGGUAAGGUCAGCCGAUACUGCGGGGCUAGAGUGCAGAAGGGGCAACUGGAAUUCUCGGUGUAGCGGUGAAAUGCGUAGAUAUCGAGAGGAACACCUGCGGCGAAGGCGGGUUGCUGGGCUGACACUGACGCUGAGGCGCGAAAGAUAGGGGAGCGAACGGGAUUAGAUACCCCGGUAGUCCUAGCCUUAAACGAUGAAUGCUUGGUGUCUGGGGUUUUAUAGUCCCCGGGUGCCGUCGCUAACGCUUUAAGCAUUCCGCCUGGGGAGUACGGUCGCAAGACUG